AACGAACGCUGGCGGCAUGCCUAACACAUGCAAGUCGAACGAGACCUUCGGGUCUAGUGGCGCACGGGUGCGUAACGCGUGGGAACCUGCCCUUAGGUUCGGAAUAACUCCCCGAAAGGGGUGCUAAUACCGGAUAAUGUCUUCGGACCAAAGAUUUAUCGCCUUUGGAUGGGCCCGCGUUGGAUUAGCUAGUUGGUAGGGUAAAAGCCUACCAAGGCGACGAUCCAUAGCUGGUCUGAGAGGAUGAUCAGCCACACUGGGACUGAGACACGGCAGACUCCUACGGGAGGCAGCAGUGGGGAAUAUUGGACAAUGGGCGAAAGCCUGAUCCAGCAAUGCCGCGUGAGUGAUGAAGGCCUUAGGGUUGUAAAGCUCUUUUACCCGGGAUGAUAAUGACAGUACCGGGAGAAUAAGCUCCGGCUAACUCCGUG
rnacentral:rRNA from 1 species